GGCCCCGCGCAGGGACCACGGAGAGGUGAGGCAGUUCGUCGGGGAAACCGGACCCGCCUCAGCCGGGAGCAGGUGGGAAGACAGAGGACCACUCUGACUCGAACCAGAAGGCACAGGGCAUGAUGGGGCUGGUGCGGCGGACACAGCUCCGCUCUUCCGAGACCUGAACCUGGGCACCUCCUCAUGGCUCAACUCUUUCCGGGAGCUGGGAAGGCACAGGUCUCACAGGAGCUCAAUGCUCAUGGCAGGCCUUGUGUAGAAGUGAUGGGACAUUGAGAUGAGGCCAUUAAGCAGUUCUCCAUCCUGGCUACACAUUAAAAGUAUCU